rnacentral:rRNA from 1 species
GACGAACGCUGGCGGCGUGCCUAAUACAUGCAAGUAGAACGCUGAAGGAGGAGCUUGCUUCUCUGGAUGAGUUGCGAACGGGUGAGUAACGCGUAGGUAACCUGCCUGGUAGCGGGGGAUAACUAUUGGAAACGAUAGCUAAUACCGCAUAAGAGUAGAUGUUGCAUGACAUUUACUUGAAAGGUGCAAUUGCAUCACUACCAGAUGGACCUGCGUUGUAUUAGCUAGUUGGUGAGGUAACGGCUCACCAAGGCAACGAUACAUAGCCGACCUGAGAGGGUGAUCGGCCACACUGGGACUGAGACACGGCCCAGACUCCUACGGGAGGCAGCAGUAGGGAAUCUUCGGCAAUGGACGGAAGUCUGACCGAGCAACGCCGCGUGAGUGAAGAAGGUUUUCGGAUCGUAAAGCUCUGUUGUAAGAGAAGAACGAGUGUGAGAGUGGAAAGUUCACACUGUGACGGUAUCUUACCAGAAAGGGACGGCUAACUACGUG